GAAGGUCUAGCAUAGUGAAGCAGGUGAUUAUGCUUCUGUUUUGUUGCCAGAUGGUGAUUCAUAGAUUUGUUCUUUUGGGAGAUCAGCCCAUAAUUGCUAUAGUUUGGAGUUGUGGACUCUGCCCUAACCCACAAAAUGACUAACAUUGCUCGAGAAAAUCAUUUUUUUUAUAUGAUGAAAUGAUGGCAUUAGGCAUAAAGAAAUGUUGAAGAGUAGGCAUCCAUACAUUGUUUAAUAGAGUAGCAAAAAUAAAAUGGCAAAUUGACUUUUGCACAUUCAUUAUAUGAUGAGUCUGGACUUUUCAGAUGGUUAUUUACUGGACUCAAACCCACAGUUUUUCAUAAUGGAGCACAGUUGUUGGCACAUAGGAGUUGAGGAGUCAC
rnacentral:misc_RNA from 1 species